rnacentral:rRNA from 1 species
UGCAGUCGAGCGGAUGACAGGAGCUUGCUCCUGAAUUCAGCGGCGGACGGGUGAGUAAUGCCUAGGAAUCUGCCUGGUAGUGGGGGACAACGUUUCGAAAGGAACGCUAAUACCGCAUACGUCCUACGGGAGAAAGCAGGGGACCUUCGGGCCUUGCGCUAUCAGAUGAGCCUAGGUCGGAUUAGCUAGUUGGUGAGGUAAUGGCUCACCAAGGCGACGAUCCGUAACUGGUCUGAGAGGAUGAUCAGUCACACUGGAACUGAGACACGGUCCAGACUCCUACGGGAGGCAGCAGUGGGGAAUAUUGGACAAUGGGCGAAAGCCUGAUCCAGCCAUGCCGCGUGUGUGAAGAAGGUCUUCGGAUUGUAAAGCACUUUAAGUUGGGAGGAAGGGCAGUAACUUAAUACGUUGCUGUUUUGACGUUACCGACAGAAUAAGCACCGGCUAACUCUGUGCCAGCAGCCGCGGUAAUAC